ACGAACGCUGGCGGCAUGCCUAACACAUGCAAGUCGAACGAGACCUUCGGGUCUAGUGGCGCACGGGUGCGUAACGCGUGGGAACCUGCCCUUAGGUUCGGAAUAACUCCCCGAAAGGGGUGCUAAUACCGGAUAAUGUCUUCGGACCAAAGAUUUAUCGCCUUUGGAUGGGCCCGCGUUGGAUUAGCUAGUUGGUAGGGUAAAAGCCUACCAAGGCGACGAUCCAUAGCUGGUCUGAGAGGAUGAUCAGCCACACUGGGACUGAGACACGGCCCAGACUCCUACGGGAAGCAGCAGUGGGGAAUAUUGGACAAUGGGCGAAAGCCUGAUCCAGCAAUGCCGCGUGAGUGAUGAAGGCCUUAGGGUUGUAAAGCUCUUUUACCCGGGAUGAUAAUGACAGCACCGGGAGAAUAAGCUCCGGCUAACUCCGUG
rnacentral:rRNA from 1 species